rnacentral:rRNA from 1 species
ACGGAAGGCAGCAGUGGGGAAUAUUGCACAAUGGGGGAAACCCUGAUGCAGCGACGCCGCGUGAGUGAAGAAGUUAUUCGUAACGUAAAGCUCUAUCAGCAGGGAAGAAAAUGACGGUACCUGACUAAGAAGCCCCGGCUAACUACGUGCCAGCAGUCGCGGUAAUACGUAGGGGGCAAGCGUUAUCCGGAUUUACUGGGUGUAAAGGGAGCGUAGACGGUCUUGCAAGUCUGAUGUGAAAGGCAGGGGCUCAACUCCUGGACUGCAUUGGAAACUGUAAGUCUUGAGUGCCGGAGAGGUAAGCGGAAUUCCUAGUGUAGCGGUGAAAUGCGUAGAUAUUAGGAGGAACACCAGUGGCGAAGGCGGCUUACUGGACGGUAACUGACGUUGAGGCUCGAAAGCGUGGGGAGCAAACAGGAUUAGAUACCCUGGUA